rnacentral:rRNA from 1 species
AUUGAACGCUGGCGGCAUGCCUUACACAUGCAAGUCGAACGGUAACGGGCCUUCGGGUGCCGACGAGUGGCGAACGGGUGAGUAAUGCAUCGGAACGUACCUUUCAGUGGGGGAUAACGUAGCGAAAGUUACGCUAAUACCGCAUAUUCUGUGAGCAGGAAAGCAGGGGAUCGCAAGACCUUGUGCUGAUUGAGCGGCCGAUGUCAGAUUAGCUAGUUGGUGAGGUAAAGGCUCACCAAGGCGACGAUCUGUAGCGGGUCUGAGAGGAUGAUCCGCCACACUGGAACUGAGACACGGUCCAGACUCCUACGGGAGGCAGCAGUGGGGAAUUUUGGACAAUGGGGGCAACCCUGAUCCAGCCAUGCCGCGUGAGUGAAGAAGGCCUUCGGGUUG